rnacentral:rRNA from 1 species
GACGAACGCUGGCGGCGUGCCUAAUACAUGCAAGUCGAACGCUGAAGGAGGAGCUUGCUCUUCUGGAUGAGUUGCGAACGGGUGAGUAACGCGUAGGUAACCUGCCUUGUAGCGGGGGGUAACUAUUGGAAACGAUAGCUAAUACCGCAUAACAGUAGAUGUUGCAUUGCAUUUACUUAAAAGUUGCAAUUUCAUCACUACCAGAUGGACCUGCGUUGUAUUAGCUAGUUGGUGGGGUAACGGCUCACCAAGGCGACGAUACAUAGCCGACCUGAGAGGGUGAUCGGCCACACUGGGACGGAGACACGGCCCAGACUCCUACGGGAGGCAGCAGUAGGGAAUCUUCGGCAAUGGACGGAAGGCUGACCGAGCAACGCCGCGUGAGUGAAGAAGGUUUUCGGAUCGUAAAGCUCUGUUGUAAGAGAAGAACGAGUGUGAGAGUGGAAAGUUCACACUGUGACGGUAUCUGAACAGAAAGGGACGGCUAACUACGUG